GGCAAUAUAUACCGUGAAACUGCGAAUGGCUCAUUAAAUCAGUUAUCGUUUAUUUGAUAGUACCUUACUACUUGGAUAACCGUGGUAAUUCUAGAGCUAAUACAUGCUAAAAACCUCGACUUCGGAAGGGGUGUAUUUAUUAGAUAAAAAACCAAUGCCCUUCGGGGCUCACUGGUGAUUCAUAAUAACUUAACGAAUCGCAUGGCCUUGUGCCGGCGAUGGCUCAUUCAAAUUUCUGCCCUAUCAACUUUCGAUGGUACGGUCUUGGCCUACCAUGGUUUCAACGGGUAACGGGGAAUUAGGGUUCUAUUCCGGAGAGGGAGCCUGAGAAACGGCUACCACAUCCAAGGAAGGCAGCAGGCGCGCAAAUUACCCAAUCCUGAUACAGGGAGGUAGUGACAAUAAAUACUGAUACAGGGCUCUUUUGGGUCUUGUAAUUGGAAUGAGUACAAUUUAAAUCCCUUAACGAGGAACAAUUGGAGGGCAAGUCUGGUGCCAGCAGCCGCGGUAAUUCCAGCUCCAAUGGCGUAUAUUAAAGUUGUUGCAGUUAAAAAGCUCGUAGUUGAACCUUGGGCCUGGCUGUCCGGUCCGCCUCACCGCGUGCACUGGUUCGGCCGGGCCUUUCCUCUUAGCGAACCGCAUGCCCUUCAUUGGGUGUGUCGGCGAACUAAGACUUUUUACUUUGAAAAAAUUAGAGUGCUCAAAGCAGGCCUAUGCUCGAAUACAUUAUCAUGG
rnacentral:rRNA from 1 species